rnacentral:rRNA from 1 species
GAUGAACGCUGGCGGCGUGCCUAAUACAUGCAAGUCGAGCGAACGGACGAGAAGCUUGCUUCUCUGAUGUUAGCGGCGGACGGGUGAGUAACACGUGGAUAACCUACCUAUAAGACUGGGAUAACUUCGGGAAACCGGAGCUAAUACCGGAUAAUAUUUUGAACCGCAUGGUUCAAAAGUGAAAGACGGUCUUGCUGUCACUUAUAGAUGGAUCCGCGCUGCAUUAGCUAGUUGGUAAGGUAACGGCUUACCAAGGCAACGAUGCAUAGCCGACCUGAGAGGAUGAUCGGCCACACUGGAACUGAGACACGGUCCAGACUCCUACGGGAGGCAGCAGUAGGGAAUCUUGCGCAAUGGGCGAAAGCCUGACGGAGCAACGCCGCGUGAGUGAUGAAGGUCUUCGGAUCGUAAAACUCUGUUAUUAGGGAAGAAAAUAUGUGUAAGUAACUGUGCACAUCUUGACGGUACCUAAUCAGAAAGCCACGGCUAACUACGUG